UAGAGUUUGGAUCCUGGCUCAGAUUGAACGCUGGCGGCAGGCCUAACACAUGCAAGUCGAGCGGCAGCGACAUAAACAAUCCUUCGGGUGCGYUUAUGGGCGGCGAGCGGCGGACGGGUGAGUAAUGCCUGGGAAUAUGCCCUGAUGUGGGGGAUAACCAUUGGAAACGAUGGCUAAUACCGCAUAAUCUCUUCGGAGCAAAGAGGGGGACCUUCGGGCCUCUCGCGUCAGGAUUAGCCCAGGUGAGAUUAGCUAGUUGGUGAGGUAAGGGCUCACCAAGGCGACGAUCUCUAGCUGGUCUGAGAGGAUGAUCAGCCACACUGGAACUGAGACACGGUCCAGACUCCUACGGGAGGCAGCAGUGGGGAAUAUUGCACAAUGGGGGAAACCCUGAUGCAGCCAUGCCGCGUGUGUGAAGAAGGCCUUCGGGUUGUAAAGCACUUUCAGUCGUGAGGAAGGC
rnacentral:rRNA from 1 species